rnacentral:RNase_P_RNA from 1 species
UCGGUUUUGCGGAUGAUCGCUCUAAUAAUACUCUAAAUUCUUGAAAUUAGAGAGGAAAGUCCGGACUCCAAAUGGCAGCGCAAGGGGUAACGCCCCUCGACAGUAAUGUCAGGAACAGUGGAACAGAAAGAAUAUCCAGGACUAUGAUCCUAAAGGCGGGAACGGGAGCCUUCUGGGGAGUCGCUGGAGUGAAAACAGCCAAACUCUGCGCGGAGCAAGAUCAAAUAGGGAAGCAUUAGUAGGACGGCCAGUCCGUAGCUUUCGGGUAAGAUCGCUUGAGGGUGUUAGUAAUAGCACUCCCAGAGGAAUGAUCAUCUACGAUUAUCGGGACAAAUUAUGGGACCUGGUGAUUGGGACAGAAUCCGGCUUACAGCAAAACCGUGAUC